AAAACUGUGGCAGAUAAUGAACAGCCUUGGGCUAAGGAUAAGAAGAUUCACCUAUAAGAAGCAAUGAGUUGUAUUGUUUUAUACAUUCCUCUUUGCUGAUUUUCCUAGAAUCCAAAGGUUCUUUGGUUCAUGAACUCCCCACAAUCUAACUACGUCUCCGCUCCUUGCCUCUCGGCGUCCCCUCGAUGCUCUUAGCUGAGUGUCCCGCGGGGCCCGAAGCGUUUACUUUAAAAAAUUAGAGUGUUCAAAGCAGGCCCGAGCCGCCUGGAUACCGCAGCUUGGAAUAAUGGAAUAGGACCGCGGUUUUAUUUUGUUGGUUUUCGGAACUGAGGCCAUGAUUAAGAGGGACGGCCGGGGGCAUUCGUAUUGCCCCGCUAGAGGUGAAAUUCUUGGACCGGCGCAAGACGGCCCAGAGCGAAAGCAUUUGCCAAGAAUGUUUUCAUUAAUCAAGAACGAAAGUCGGAGGUUCGAAGACGAUCAGAUACCGUAGUAGUUCCGACCAUAAACGAUGCCGACUGGCGAUGCGGCGGCUUUAUUCCCAUGACCCGCCGGGCAGCUUCCGGGAAACCAAAGUCUUUGGGUUCCG
rnacentral:ncRNA from 1 species